UUAGGCUAUUUUUGGUGCCCUCUCAGCACUUGGUGCCCAGUGUGAUCCGCGUGGUGGGAGCGGCGGCACUGAUCUCAAAGCAACUGGCCACAACUUUUAAUUUUUCAUCCAGGUCCUCUUGAGGAAGCAUCUCAGCAAAGCGAAUCCCUUCCACCUUGCAGACUGCAGAGCCUUUGCUUCAUCGCCAGAUUUCUACUUUCACUCUUCUUUGCGAUUUAACAGUAUUUUUGGAACGCAAACUGUAGUGAGCACGUGAAUUUACACACGUCUUCAUCCUGUAGGUUAAUUGGGAUAAACAAUGUGCCAACUUGCGUCAUAGUGGAGCUGGAUUUCUAGAUGUUUCCCGAUUACAGGUGAUGAUUGUCUAAGGAGAAUAAUCAGUCCAGUGAUUCCCGUCCAAUCAAAUCGAAUAGAAAACUUGCAUCACACAGACUUCAAAACACCUGCCGGCUGGCGCCAAUUUAGUUUAAUCAUGGAGGAGGAGGAAGAGUGGUAGAUACUUCAACAUGCAAUAACUCAAAUACAGCACUUCAGCAUCCUUUGGUCGUACCUGAAGCUUUUUUUGCAGUUAAGGCAAAGAAGAACAAUUGGGUCACUAUGUCAUGCCUACUUUGCUUGGCCAGACCAGUUGAAAUAUCAGCAUUUAAGAGUUGUUCUUCUAAUUUAAAAAAGCACAUUGAGGUAAGUUUUUAAUAUCUGCUAAGUAUCAUG